UCCAGGGUUCAUUGUGAGGACUAAAGGAGGUAGUCCUCACACAGUCCCUGGCUUGGGAGCACUCAAGAAGCAUUCACUGGGCUGGUUUUGCCCUUCGGGACAGCAGGGCUCCACAUGGUUCUUCCACAUUUAAAGCCUGUCUCCUUUCCUGACUGGGCAGCAUAAACAGGUUUGGGGGCAUCUACUAUCCCCUGACCCCUGUCUUCUGCCCUCCACCCUCUGCCUUCCAUUUCAGACAGUCACCUGCCGUAGGUAGAGUGAUGGUCUGGGGCUUUUGAAGUUGGAGUUUGCAAGGCUGGGCCAUGCCAGGCUACCCCCCGCGAGCUCUCUAGGAGCAGAGGACAGCCAAGUCCUCGGAGGCCGCCCCUGCAGCCCUGCGGCUGUCCACCCGACAGCAGAUCAACCUAUGUGCCUCCCUUUGAUGUGAGUCCUCAAACUGGAGCCUCGUGCCCUGCUCUGAGAACCCGAGCUUUGAAGUUGGCCUAUAAACUGAGCUUUCAGGAAAAAAGUUGUCUGUUGUGCCUCAGAGCACGGCCAGGCCCUGUAAAAGCACACGGAGUGCCAUGAACACCUGAUGAAUAAUUCUUUUUGGGCCCAAGAAAGAUUCAUUCCAUUUAAAGGAGAGGAAAAUUCCCUUGACCUUUUCAUUGAAGUUCUAGGGGUGGGGGUUGGGGGGCACUUAGAGAGGGUUUUUUUGUCUUCUCACUAAAGCCACAUGGAGCAGGCAGUUUGUCUCCAAGAGCUGAGCUCCAGUGACUGCUCCAAAGGGCUUCCUAUCCCUGACUCCCGACCCCAGGUCUGCUCAGCCAACACCCCCUUCACACUCCCUGCCUCCCACCAUGACUGAGGGAGAAGACUGGGUCCUCUCCCAGAAGGAGAGGCCUCUCUCCAGACCAAACCAUGUUGGAAAUGGCAAGGCUUAUGGACUCUACUGCUUUCUUUUCCUUCCAGGGCCUGGCAUGGCGAAGGGGUGAGGCAGACAUGAAUGUGCCUGGAUUUCUCACCUGAAGGAGCCCUGAAAACAGGCUGACAGUUGCCAAGUGCUUAUUCUGCCAGGCCCUCGGCCUUCUUUUGUGCGUGACUAGAUAAUAGGAUG
rnacentral:lncRNA from 10 species